rnacentral:rRNA from 1 species
UAAAGAUUCAUCGCUGAUAGAUAGGCAUGCGUUCCAUUAGGCAGUUGGCGGGGUAACGGCCCACCAAACCGACGAUGGAUAGGGGUUCUGAGAGGAAGGUCCCCCACAUUGGUACUGAGACACGGACCAAACUCCUACGGGAGGCAGCAGUGAGGAAUAUUGGUCAAUGGGCGUAAGCCUGAACCAGCCAAAUCGCGUGAGGGAUGAAGGUUCUAUGGAUCGUAAACCUCUUUUAUAAGGGAAUAAAGUGUGGGACGUGUCCUAUUUUGUAUGUACCUUAUGAAUAAGGAUCGGCUAACUCCGUGCCAGCAGCCGCGGUAAUACGGAGGAUCCGAGCGUUAUCCGGAUUUAUUGGGUUUAAAGGGUGCGUAGGCGGCCUUUUAAGUCAGCGGUGAAAGUCUGUGGCUCAACCAUAGAAUUGCCGUUGAAACUGGGGGGCUUGAGUAUGUUUGAGGCAGGCGGAAUGCGUGGUGUAGCGGUGAAAUGCUUAGAUAUCACGCAGAACCCCGAUUGCGAAGGCAGCCUGCCAAGCCAUGACUGACGCUGAUGCACGAAAGCGUGGGGAUCAAACAGGAUUAGAUACCCUGGUAGUCCACGCAGUAAACGAUGAUCACUAGCUGUUUGCGAUACAGUGUAA